rnacentral:sRNA from 1 species
CAGGCCAUUAAUUAAUGGUGGUGAAAAUGAAGACGAAUAUGAGCCGAAUUAUUCAAUCCAAGAUGAUAGUUCUGUUGCCCAAGUCAAGGCGAUAAGCUUCUACCAGGCGUGUUGCCUUCCUGGAGUCAUACCGUACUCACUGGCCUACGCCUGCUUGAAGUUAGUGAAUUACUCCUUCUUCUUCUGGCUCCCCUUUUAUCUGAGUAACAACUUCGGCUGGAAGGAGGCGGAAGCCGACAAGCUGUCCAUUUGGUACGACGUUGGAGGGAUCAUAGGUAUGCCAGUGAUGCAUCUUUUCCAUAAUAAAGAGUUAGUCACUAGUGAUCUUUUACUGGGUUGUGAAAUCUGGCCUCAUUUAAAGUUUUAUUACUUAUUCUACAGCCAUUUUCCCUAAACUGUCCUACUAGUAAACAGCCAAACUCAAAAAAAAAAAAAAAAAAGAAAGA